rnacentral:misc_RNA from 1 species
GAGGAGAGAAACACAUGGCUGGCAAGUCUCGUCCGGAUGAAUGAAUUAAAAGAUAGGUUCUGUUCAUCUUGGUUUGCUCCAGUUGGGUCCGCAAGUGAUUAUCCACUUCUAUCGAAGUGGGUUAUUUAUGGGGAGUUAGGUUGUAAUGGAAGUGGAUGUGCAGGUUCAUCUGAUGAAAUCUCUCCUAUAUACUCAUUAUGGGCCACUUUUAUUGGUCUAUACAUUGCCAAUUAUGUUGUCGAAAGGUCGACAGGGUGGGCACUUUCUCACCCUUUGUCAGUUCAAGAGUAUGAGAAGUCGAAGAAAAAACAGAUGAAGCCUGAUUUUUUGGAUAUGGUUCCUUGGUAUUCAGGAACAUCUGCUGACUUAUUCAAGACUGUCUUUGACCUCUUGGUAUCAGUAACUGUAUUUGUUGGUCGUUUUGACAUGCGAAUGAUGCAGGCCGCAAUGACUAAAGUUGAAAAUGGAGAACAACAGGGAGAUCUUUUGUAUGAUCACUUCAGCGAGAAGGAAGAUCUGUGGUUUGACUUCAUGGCUGAUACUGGUGAUGGUGGGAACUCAUCAUAUACUGUCGCACGACUACUUGCAAAGCCUUCCAUUCAGCUUACUAGAGGUGAUUCUGUGCUUUCCCU